ensembl:lncRNA
AGAGUCCAAUGCUCAGUCAAAGUCUUCUCUAGUUUGAGGUGGAGUUUCUCUGUCUUUAUACAGCUGUUAUUCAAAAGUCUUAUUACAACUAGUCUGCUUUGGAUGUUGAAUCCCAUUUGCUGCAGUCUGACAAGGGGUGAAGGUUGAAGAUAUUCACUGAUUUUAGGGGUUUGGGGGCGCAGGCGGUGCUUGGUGUACUAAUGCAGUUCCCUGGUUUCAAUCUCUGGCUUUGACUUGCUCCUUUAACUCGGUUUCUCUACUCUGCAGUUCCUUUAGAAGCUUAUCUGUUUAAAUCAGUUCUUUUGAACAGAAAGCACUGAUCUAAUAUGCUGAUCAGGGUCAACCAGUCUGAUUAUCUUUUAAGUGACCAUAUUUGGCAUUUCCUGUCUUUGACUGCAGUUCUUUUGAACAGGAAAGACUUGUAAACUGCUAGUAUGAUGAAUUUACUGAACGCCAUGAAGUCAGUAGUGGGAUUAUUAAUUUUUCUUCUCAGUCAUGAUGCCUCGACGGCAGCUCCAAUAAACAUUGCUUUAGCAUCAACAGAGAAUGCAAGUCCUCAAACAGGCAUUUACCUUGACACUGGCAUCAUAGCUGGCAUUGUCAUUGUCACUGUGAUUGUCUUUGCCUUGAUAGGAAUGGCUGAUCAGGAGCAGGCUGAUGAAUGUGUCAAUUUAAAUAAAGGUACAACUACAAGUCAGGACACAUUCUGUGCAGAAUGUUCAAACGGCUGCUGGAAAUGUUGUAGAGGUUUUGUAUCCUGUUGUUGUACUGAAUCCCUAUUCAUAGGUUGUGACAUAUGCUGCAUGUCUCUAUUUUAAAUGGAAAAAUUCAUCAACAAUAAUUAUUUCACUGCUCCUUUGGAUACUGUAUGCACUACAGUCAUUGUCAGUUGAUUGCCUGGGCUCAUCUUUCAUUUCAUAUAAGACUAAAUGUUUAUAAUAAUUUUAUAAUAGGUUUAUAAGUUCAUAAGUUUACAAUAACAAUACACGUUAGGCACCUUUCUAAACACUCAAGGUCAACUUAGAAAAAAUAAGUAAUCGAAAAAACAAGAAGAAUAUUUUUAGAGUGGCCUAGCCUUAAAUUACACCAGAUUAAGACGCUUUGAUAUGACCUUAAACAUGCUGUUCAUGCUCAAAAACCUUCCAUUGUGGCUACAUUCAAAUAAUUCAGCAAAAAAAAAAAAGAACAAAGGGGCAAAGCUCGUUGGUUUAAUUUGUUACACAGGAAGGUUUGGUUAGUUUUUUUAGUUGUUGUUUUUUUUUUAAUCAAUAAAUUAAAUUAGAACUUAAGAAAACUGUAUUCUACAUAUUCAUGUUGUCUUUGUCUAUUAUUACAAUUUUAUUGAUGAUCUGAAACAUUUGAAUGUGUAAACUGUGCAAAACCUAAUAAAUCAGGAAGGGGCUGAUCCUUUUUCACAGCACUGUAUCUGCUGUAUGUUUGUUCUUUCCCCUGUUUUCCUUUGAAAAUACUCUCUCAUUUGUUCAUACAUUUACAAUAUGCAGGUAUUUUGAGAUACCUGCAUUUAACAAGUUCACUCAAGUUACCUGGAUACAUACAGAGAGAACAUGAGCACAAACAGAAGUACAGAGUCAAUGAUGGUGACACAAUGAUAACACACUCAAGCACCAACAAACAAGAACUGAAACCAGGGUUAUAAAACA